AUUGAACGCUGGCGGCAGGCCUAACACAUGCAAGUCGAACGAGCGGCGGACGGGUGAGUAAUGUCUGGGGAACUGCCUGAUGGAGGGGGAUAACUACUGGAAACGGUAGCUAAUACCGCAUACCAUCGGAUGUACCCAGAUGGGAUUAGCUAGUAGGUGGGGUAACGGCUCACCUAGGCGACGAUCCCUAGCUGGUCUGAGAGGAUGAACAGCCACACUGGAACUGAGACACGGUCCAGACUCCUACGGGAGGCAGCAGUGGGGAAUAUUGCACAAUGGGCGCAAGCCUGAUGCAGCCAUGCCGCGUGUAUGAAGAAGGCCUUCGGGUUGUAAAGUACUUUCAGCGAGGAGGCGUUACUCACAGAAGAAGCACCGGCUAACUCCGUGCCAGCAGCCGCGGUAAUUC
rnacentral:rRNA from 1 species